AUUGAACGCUGGCGGCAGGCCUAACACAUGCAAGUCGAACGAGUGGCGGCCGGGUGAGUAAUGUCUGGGAAACUGCCUGAUGGAGGGGGAUCACUACUGGAAACGGUAGCUAAUACCGCAUACCAUCGGAUGUUCCCAGAUGGGAUUAGCUCUUAGGUGGUGUAAAGGCUCACCUAGGCGACGAGCCCUAGCGGGUCUGAGAGGAUGACCAGCCAAACUGGAACGAAGACACGGUACAGACGACUACGGGAGGCAGAAGUGGGGAAUAUUGCACAAGGGGCGCAAGCCUGAUGCAGCCAUGCCGCGUGUAUGAAGAAGGCCUUCGGGUUGUAAAGUACUUUCAGCGGGGAGGCGUUACGCGCAGAAGAGGCACCGGCUAACUCCGUGCCAGAAGACGCGGUAAUAC
rnacentral:rRNA from 1 species